UACAUGUGGGGCAAGCGUUGUUCGGAAUUACUGGGCAUAAAGGGUGCGUAGGUGGCUUGUUAAGUCAGGGGUGAAAGUUUUCGGCCCAACCGGAAAAUGGCCUUUGAUACUGGCGAGCUCGAGUGCGUGAGGGGUAACCGGAACGAGCAGUGUAGCGGUGAAAUGCGUAGAUAUUGCUCGGAAGGCCAACGGCGAAGGCAGGUUACUGGUGCGCAACUGACACUGAGGCACGAAAGCGUGGGGAGCAA
rnacentral:rRNA from 1 species